UCCUCCCUUCAGUUCCAAAAU
rnacentral:piRNA from 1 species